GCUUCCAUGGCUUAGUUGGUAAAGCGUCUCACUAGUAAUGAGGAGAUCAUCAGUUCGAAUCUGGUUGGAAGCA
rfam:Hanseniaspora osmophila strain AWRI3579 Hanseniaspora_osmophila_AWRI3579_scaffold7, whole genome shotgun sequence.